rnacentral:rRNA from 2 species
UACGAAGGGGGCUAGCGUUGUUCGGAAUUACUGGGCGUAAAGCGCGCGCAGGCGGUCUUCCAAGUCAGUGGUGAAAGCCCGGAGCUCAACUCCGGAAUUGCCAUUGAAACUGUUGGACUUGAGUACGAGAGAGGUGAGUGGAAUUCCCAGUGUAGAGGUGAAAUUCGUAGAUAUUGGGAAGAACACCGGUGGCGAAGGCGGCUCACUGGCUCGUAACUGACGCUCAAGCGCGACAGCGUGGGGAUCAAACAGG